UACGUAGGGUCCGAGCGUGUCCGGAAUUAUUGGGCGUAAAGAGCUUGUAGGCGGUUUGUCGCGUCUGCCGUGAAAAUUCGAGGCUCAACCUCGAACUUGCGGUGGGUACGGGCAGACUAGAGUGUGGUAGGGGAGACUGGAAUUCCUGGUGUAGCGGUGGAAUGCGCAGAUAUCAGGAGGAACACCGAUGGCGAAGGCGGGUCUCUGGGCAGUAACUGACGCUGAGGAGCGAAAGCGUGGGGAGCGAACAGG
rnacentral:rRNA from 1 species